rnacentral:rRNA from 1 species
UUUGUGGAGAGUUUGAUCCUGGCUCAGGAUGAACGCUGGCGGCGUGCUUAACACAUGCAAGUCGAACGGAAAGGCUCCUGCUUGCAGGGGUACUCGAGUGGCGAACGGGUGAGUAACACGUGGGUGAUCUGCCCCGCACUUCGGGAUAAGCCUGGGAAACUGGGUCUAAUACCGGAUAGGACCACUUCUUGGAGGUUGUGGUGGAAAGUUUUUUCGGUGUGGGAUGAGCUCGCGGCCUAUCAGCUUGUUGGUGGGGUAAUGGCCUACCAAGGCGUCGACGGGUAGCCGGCCUGAGAGGGUGUACGGCCACAUUGGGACUGAGAUACGGCCCAGACUCCUACGGGAGGCAGCAGUGGGGAAUAUUGCACAAUGGGCGCAAGCCUGAUGCAGCGACGCCGCGUGGGGGAUGACGGCCUUCGGGUUGUAAACUCCUUUCGCUAGGGACGAAGCGU